GCGUCGGUAGCUCAGCUGGAUAGAGCAUCAGACUUCGGAUCUGAGGGUCGAGGGUUCGAAUCCUUCCCGGCGCGCCA
rnacentral:tRNA from 1 species